GCACAUCCGGUCUGGCGGACAUGAAGGCUGUGGCUUUCUUUUCUCUUCCGGGAAGAGAAGCCUGGAAGCUGGCUUGAUGGAAUUACUGUGUUUUGUGUGUAGCAUCCGAUUCUAGGAGUGCCUGGCAAGAAGAAGCUGCUGACUGGAGUCCAGAACCAAGCUAAUCAACUCUCCUGAGUCAAAACAGUGUCUGAAUGAUGAGUCCCCAGGCAGAUUUCAGGAAUGUAGAACAUUUGGAACAGGAGAUCAGGACACAGAUGCUUGAAGAAGGAAGACCAUAUGAAAAUGAGACAAAGAUGGCAUCUACAAUCCAAGGAGAGAGGCCUCAGGAAAAACCAACCCUGAUGACGCCUUAAUCUUGGAUUUACAGCCUCCAGAACUGAGAGAAAAUAAAUUUCUGUUGUUUAAGCUCCCCAGAAAAGGAGGCACAGUGAAGUUAAGUAGCUUGCUCCAGAUCACACAUAGGUAGAUCUGGGGCCCAGACCCAGACUGGGCUCUAGCAUCCAUGUACUUGGCCACUGCUCUCAUCUGUGUCUAUAGGGUCUGAGCAUCAUGUCCUCCCAAGAUAAAAUCCUAACUUUGUUGCCAGACCAGAAACUACCUUUUCUCUUUCUUGAUACAUGUCUAAGAAAAAUGUUGACCUUCAGCAAUCCUUUUUAAAAAAAUUUUUUAUUAGAGUUCAAUUUGCCAACAUAUAGCAUAAUACCCAGUGCCCCCCUCAGUGCC